AGUCGAGAUGGCCGAGUUGGUCUAAGGCGCCAGAUUAAGGUUCUGUUCCGAAAGGGCGUGGGUUCAAAUCCCACUCUCGACAAUAUUAGAUC
rnacentral:tRNA from 1 species